GGGCAGUCUGGUGACACAGCAGCCGCGGUAAUUCCAGCUCCAAUAGCGUAUAUUAAAAUUGUUGCAGUUAAAAAGCUCGUAGUUGAAUUUUUGCUAGAAAUAACCGGUCUGCUUUUAUUUAUAAGAGUGGUAUCUUGGUGUGUUUUUAGCAAUAAUGUCCUUUGGAAUGUUUUUUACUUUAUUGUAGAAUGCAAUUUUGAGGAUUUUUACUUUGAGAAAAUUAGAGUGUUUCAAGCAGGCUAACGUUUUGAAUACUGCAGCAUGGAAUAAUAAAAUAGGAUUUUAGUUCUACGUUAUUGGUUUUAAGAACUAAAUUAAUGAUUGAUAGGAGCAGUUGGGGGCAUUUGUAUUUAACUGUCAGAGGUGAAAUUCUUAGAUUUGUUAAAGACACACUACUGCGAAAGCAUUUGCCAAAGAUGUUUUCAUUAAUCAAGAACGAAAGUUAGGGGAUCGAAGACGAUCA
rnacentral:rRNA from 1 species